rnacentral:tRNA from 1 species
GGUUUAUGAACUUGUAUAGUGUAUAUUUUGAAAAUAUAAAAAAGGAAAUUUCCUAUAAACCU